GUGCUUCCGCUGAUGAUACAGUCUUGCGUACUCCGCCACCUCCAGCUACUGUGGAAACUCCAUCCGAGAAGCAUCCGGUUGACAUUGAGCAGUGUGAGGAUUUGGGUGGUGGUGAUUCAGGUUUUCCUCUGGGAAAUGCUUCUGAGAAGAAGUGUGUAUAACGAAGGGCUAUACAAGGCUAAGCCUGAUUCAGACAAGAUGAUAGCCUGGUUCAAAUAUGAUUUGCCAGCUAGAGAAAACCCCUUUGGGUUUAAGAUUAGGAAAACCUAUGGGGGGGGGGGCUGAUGGUCGGAGACAGAUGCUUGGGAAAGUCUGGGUAAAGCGCUAAUCCAGGAAAUCAUGCUGGAAACAGGGUACAAUGUAGAUGAUGUAAACUACGUUUUGCAAUGUGGCUUGUAGCCAGUUUGCU